GCAGCGGUAGUUCAGUUGGUUAGAAUGCCUGCCUGUCACGCAGGAGGUCGCGGGUUCGAGUCCCGUCCGCUGCG
rfam:Sulfuricurvum sp. RIFOXYD2_FTLL_44_160 rifoxyd2_full_scaffold_727, whole genome shotgun sequence.